rnacentral:rRNA from 1 species
CCUACGGGAGGCAGCAGUAAGGAAUAUUGGACAAUGGACGCAAGUCUGAUCCAGCCAUCCCGCGUGGAGGAAUAAAGCCCUAUGGGUUGUAAACUCCUUUAGCUAGGGAAUAAAUCAUUGGAUUCAUCCGAUGUUGAAGGUACCUAGAGAAUAAGCACCGGCUAACUCCGUGCCAGCAGCCGCGGUAAU